rnacentral:rRNA from 1 species
AUUGAACGCUGGCGGCAGGCCUAACACAUGCAAGUCGAACGAGUGGCGGAGGGGAGAGUAAUGUAUGGGAAACUGCCUGAUGGAGGGGGAUAAAGAAUGGAAACGGUAGCUAAUACCGCAUACCAUCGGAUGUGCCCAGAUGGGAUUAGCUAGGAGGUGGGGAAAAGGCUCACCUAGGCGACGAUCCCUAGCUGGUCUGAGAGGAUGACCAGCCACACUGGAACUGCGACACUGUCCAGACUCCGACGUGAGGCAGCAGUGGGGAAUAUUGCACAAUGGGCGCAAUCCUGAUGCAGCCAGUCCGCGUGUAUCAAGAGCGCCUUCGGGUUGUAAAGUACUUUCAGCUGGGAGGCGUUACCCACAGAAGAAGCACCGGCUAACUCCGUGCCAGCAGCCGCGGUAAUAC